UAAAAUAAAUAAAAAUUUUUAAAAGGUGGGU
rnacentral:piRNA from 1 species